CUCUGGAGGGUGGAGGCCUCCCUCUGGUCCUCAUACUGCUGCGGCGACACCUGCUGGCAGAAGGUGAACGCUGGACGGAGAACGGGGCAGAAGGAGGUUCCACAGUCAGAAGGAGAACGCUGGACGGAGAACGGGGCAGAAGGAGGUUCUACAGUCAGAAGGAGAACGCUGGACGGAGAACGGGGCAGAAGGAGGUUCUACA